GUGAGAAACUCUUAUGAGAUACC
rnacentral:snRNA from 1 species